rnacentral:lncRNA from 1 species
CAACAAACAGAGCAGGGAAAAACAGCACCCCGAAGACAGCAUUCAGGACCCAGCCCUUUAGACAAAAGGGAUCAGAUCAGGUCUACUAGAUGGCCUCAUUCAGUCAGACACACCCAGUUAAGCAGCCCUGGAAAGGGACUCUAGAGAAUGCUAGAAGUACUGUGAAGCUCGCAGAUGGCCUUGUGGACUUUAGCACUUCAGAAGACAACAGUCUCCCAGCAAAAUGUUGCAAGCAGCACAGGCUCAGGAAUGGACAGACUGGCAGGCAAGGUACAAUGAAGGAACUCAACGGGAGCUUGGGAGACAACACAGCAAGAAGGCAGCAGUCUGCACACCAGGAGGAGAGUCCUCACCACAACUCAGCCCUGCCACACCCUGAUCCUGGACUUUCAGCCUCCAGAGCUGUGAGAAAUAAAUGCCUGCUGUU